rnacentral:lncRNA from 1 species
AACAUUACAACCCAAGUCAGAGUUCACCUGUUCUGUAAAGGGAUGAAAUUUUAAAGGUAUAGAAUAUUUAUCUAUAUUAAUUUUCGGGCAUUGGUUUUUUUCUCAUGGAGAAUAAAACAUUUUUUCUUCUAGAAGGGAUGUAUAAAUACAUUUCUAAAGAAAGAUAAAAUAUACAGAAAAACACCUUUAAAAAAAAGAGAGAAAAAAUUUAUUUUAAUUUUAUUGUAAACUAUUUUCUGGUAACAGUAUAUCCUGGAUAUCUGUCAAAUAAAUGUUCCCGUGUCACACUUAAAAUAAUUUUUUUUUUAUCAAGAAAUUUUGAAAUCAAUCAUAUCGAAAUAUCACCAAAGAAAAGAACAGAAACAUCAGAGAUUCUGCAUGAAAAUAUUAAUAUAAUCUAGGAAAGUCUUACUAUACAAAUCCUUGAUUUGAUGCAACAUUUCCAUAUUAUGGGAUAUUCAUCAUCCGCCAUUUUGAAAAAUUCCGAAAAAUUCCAUUUUUUAAAUCGAUAUUUGACCGACUUUGACAUGAAAUUAAACUGUUUUAAGUAGUAUUUUUCGCCAGAUAUAUGUUUUAAUAUACUUAAUCGAUUUGCAAAGUUUGUUUUUAAUGUACGGAAUUUCUUAAUUUGUUGUACAAGUAGACAUGGGUAUCGGUAAUUUAG